rnacentral:rRNA from 1 species
UACGUAGGGGGCAAGCGUUGUUCGGAAUUACUGGGCGUAAAGCGCACGUAGGCGGACAUUUAAGUCAGGGGUGAAAUCCCGGGGCUCAACCGAGGAAGUGCACCCGAAACUGCUGAGCUUGAGUGCCGGAGAGGAUGGCGGAAUUCCCCAAGUAGAGGUGAAAUUCGUAGAUAUGGGGAGGAACACCGGUGGCGAAGGCGGCCAUCUGGACGGUAACUGACGCUGAGACGCGAAAGCGUGGGGAGCAAACGGG